rnacentral:misc_RNA from 1 species
GAUGAAGAACGUAGCGAAAUGCGAUACUUGGUGUGAAUUGCAGAAUCCCGUGAACCUUCGAGUCUUUGAACGCAAGUUGCGCCUCAAGCCAUUAGGUUGAGGGCACGUCUGCCUGGGCGUCACAUAUCGUUGCCUGAUGCCAGUUUCCUCGUGAUGGGUGACUGUGCAGGGCGAAUGAUGGCUUCCCGUGAGCAUUGUUGCCUCAUGGUUGGUUGAAAAUUGAGUCCUUGGUAGGGAGCGCCGUGAUAGAUGGUGGUUGAGUGACGAACGAGACCCAAUCAUGUGAGACCCCUACCGAAUUUGGCCUUCAUGACCCACAUGCGUCUUUGGAACGCUCAUGACGAGACCUCAGGUCAGGCGGGGCUACCCGCUGAGUUUAAGCAUAUCAAUAAGCGGAGGA